UUUUGUGGGGUGCUCGAGUGGCGAACGGGUGAGUAACACGUGAGUAACCUGCCCUUGACUUUGGGAUAACUUCAGGAAACUGGGGCUAAUACCGGAUAGGAGCUCCUGCUGCAUGGUGGGGGCUGGAAAGUUUCGGCGGUUGGGGAUGGACUCGCGGCUUAUCAGCUUGUUGGUGGGGUAGUGGCUUACCAAGGCUUUGACGGGUAGCCGGCCUGAGAGGGUGACCGGCCACAUUGGGACUGAGAAACGGUCCAA
rnacentral:rRNA from 1 species